rnacentral:rRNA from 1 species
CAGUCGCCGCGGGAAUACGGAGGGUGCAAGCGUUAAUCGGAAUUACUGGGCGUAAAGCGCACGCAGGCGGUCUGACAAGUCAGAUGUGAAAUCCCCGGGCUUAACCUGGGAACUGCAUUUGAAACUGUCAGGCUGGAGUCUUGUAGAGGGGGGUGGAAUUCCAGGUGUAGCGGUGAAAUGCGUAGAGAUCUGGAGGAAUACCGGUGGCAAAGGCGGCCCCCUGGACAAAGACUGACGCUCAGGUGCGAAAGCGUGGGGAGCAAACAGGAUUAGAUACCCCGGUAGUCCCUGUCUCUUAUAC